AAACCUGAGAAACCCGAAAGAUCGAAUGGGGAGAUUCAGCGUCAGCGGCGUUGGCUCGGCGAUGUGGACGAUGUCGUGGACUACGGUAUCGCGACACGUUAUCACUAUGCCGCGUCCGACGUCGUCGUCGUGCACUUCUCCCCUAGUAGAACGUCGCGACCCGUUGGGUGCCGGUCUACGGCCCGAGGUGUAAGACUGACGCGUCGCUUCGGCGCAUGCGGCAGACCCUCGGUUGCCCGGCCGGCUGCCCGGCGGUAUAACGCACGGUAUCUGGCCGCAAUUUUUGAACUGCGUCGGGCCCGCCGCAAGCGAGGCCAGUGUCCCGGAGGUACGGACCCGGAGCCGUCCCCGAGCCUGGCCAGCUGUUGGCAGGCGGUGUCCUCGGACGGGCAGAAAUAAUGGUACCGGUCGGCGACGCUACUGCUUUGGGUACUCUCAGGACCCGUCUUGAAACACGGACCAAGGAGUCUAACAUGUGCGCGAGUCAUUGGGAUCUAAAAGCCUAAAGGCGCAAUGAAAGUGAAGGUCGACUUCGCGUCGACCGAGGGAGGAUGGGCCGCGCUACGACGCGGCUCCGCACUCCCGGGGCGUCUCGUUCUCAUUGCGAGAAGAGGCGCACCCAGAGCGUACACGUUGGGACCCGAAAGAUGGUGAACUAUGCCUGGUCAGGACGAAGUCAGGGGAAACCCUGAUGGAGGUCCGUAGCGAUUCUGACGUGCAAAUCGAUCGUCGGAACUGGGUAUAGGGGCGAAAGACUAAUCGAACCAUCUAGUAGCUGGUUCCCUCCGAAGUUUCCCUCAGGAUAGCUGGCACUCGCCCGUUCUCACGAACGUAUGAGAGUCUCAUCUGGUAAAGCGAAUGAUUAGAGGCCUUGGGGCCGAAACGACCUCAACCUAUUCUCAAACUUUAAAUGGGUGAGAUCUCUGGCUUGCUUGAAUAUUGAAGCCACGAGAUUUCGGAUCAGAGUGCCAAGUGGGCCAAUUUU
rnacentral:rRNA from 1 species